GCUGGGCGCGGUGGCUCACGCCUGUAAUCCCAGCACUUUGGGAGGCCGAGGCGGGCGGAUCACCUGAGGUCAGGAGUUCAAGACCAGCCUGACCAAAUGGAGAAACCCCAUCUCUACUAAAAAUACAAAAAUCAGUCAGGCAUGGUGGCUCACGCCUGUAAUCCCAGCACUUUGGGAGGCUGAGGUGGGCAGAUCACUUGAGGUCAGGAGUUCGAGACCAGCCUGGCCAAAAAGGUGAAACCCCAUCUCU
rnacentral:sRNA from 1 species